CGUCGUUUCUAAACGACGUGAGCACCAGUUAAUAUACGUCACGACGUCAUCUUCAUCGGUCACGAUGUUUGUGUCGGAGUUUAGGGGUUAAAAGAAAUCACUUACGAUCGCCACACUUUUAUGACGCAAACUACCAACCGUUUUUUGCAAGACUCGUGGUCUAGUCGUGCUAUAAUCUAAUCUACUGUUUUGGUACAUUUUUUUAUAUUAACUUUUCAACUGUUAUGGACGUUAUUAUGAGUGACGGUGUAUUGGAGCUUUAUAAAUUUGUUUUCACCGAGGUAAAUACCUCUUCGUGUGAAUGCGCAAUAUGAAGCAUCGAACAAAUUCUAAAAGCACCCGCUGCGCCAUUGGUUAUAUUAAUUGGUAUUACAUACACAUGAGAGUCAGCAAAUGAUAUAAAAGCCAGAAGGUCGAUAAAAAUGAGCUCAUCGUAUCUUCCCUGUAUGGAUUUCAAUAUCGAACUAUUUCUUUGUAAUUUCGUAAAACUAUGAGCUACAAAGGUGGUCGAAUGUCGAAAAGAGAUAACGUGGUUUGGACCUACAGAUAACAAGAAACUGCGUUUGACGAUGACGCGCCUCUUUCCACUAGUUUCGUCAGCCACCGUGAUCCACUCUCUAUCAAGAGCAAUUCGUUCGUGUCUCAGUUGUCUAUUUUACACGUUCUUUUAUAGCUCUAUCAGAUUGUUUACACAUGUAAUAAAAACUUUUAGCUUUGACAUAUCGAUCGCUGGAAGUAGUUUUCUUGGAAACGCUCUGAAAAAAGUGACUUGCACUUUUCCUUACCGCUCUCUUUGCUAAUCCAGAUAAAAAGCACGCAUACUGGCAAUGUUCUAUUUAUCUAUGCACGCCAACUAGCAAACCAUAACAGCCACUUCAUAAAUUUUCCGACUAUCAUUGCUCAACCAUUACGAGGAAUUAACGUAGUCUCGAUCGCGGUUCGAAACGCGUUGCCUCUAUAUUUCAAUGGCUUCGAAAACGUUUUCGGAUCAGUGAAAGCGUGGAAUAAAUUCGCCGCUUACGUAAUCAGUUACGCGUUCCACAAUGGAACGUCAUCUAUUUUUUUGCGACUCUUCGCAAAUCCGAUGCGAGGUUGUUCCAAUCCAUCUUCUGCAGAUUUGUUAAUUUUUAUCAACAUACGUAGGUAUUUAAUUUAAUUUGUAUUUAGUUUCUCGGUUAAUCCUAACAGAGAAUCUAUCGCUUUACAAUGGAAUUCGAGGAGUUAAAAAUUCACAGGUAGCAGAAACGGACUAUUAUUAUAUGAACUAAUUGUCACGCGACUCUCGUUCAAAUAAAUAGAUUUCUUAUCUUA